UUUGUACACACCGCCCGUCGCU
rnacentral:ncRNA from 2 species